CACUCUCGAUAGGGAAUUGGGCUGCGGACAGUUCGGGGUCACCUAUCUUUGUACUGAGAAGUCUACCGGCCUUAAAUACGCCUGCAAUUCCUUCUCCAAGCGCAAGCUUGUCCACAAGAGCAAUGUAGAGGGCGUGCGUCGAGAGAUCCUCAUCAUGCAACAUCUCACUGACCAGCCCAAACAUUGUCGAAUUCAAGGGCGCGUAUGAGGACCACCAGAGCAUCCAUUUAAUCAUGGAGCUCUGCUCUGGCGGGAAUCUCUCUGAUCGGAUCAUUGCCAAGGGUAGUUACUCGGAGCGUGCCGCUGCUGCCAUCGGCCGUUCCAUCGUCAAUGUGGUCUACGUCUGCCAUUUUAUGGGGGUGAUGCAUCGGGAUAUCAAGCCGGAGAAUUUCUUGCUGGUCAGUAAGGAGGACGACUCGCCGCUCAAGUCGACAGGUUUUGGUCUCUCCGUUUUCAUUGAGGAGGCCUUGUAAAGAGCAAUCAGAAGCUCAGAUGGAGUUGCAGAGGGAAUUGGCUCAGAAAGAAAAGAAUAAUUGUCCUAUUUUGGCACUGAGGUGCUAGAGAGGUGGUGGUUGAUCAUCUUUGAAGACUUCUCUCUUUCUUCUUGCAGAUAUAUACCUAAAGAGGUUUUUCUAUGCACUCAUAAGGAACAUGAAAAAGGACCGUCUUCUGUGAUAGGAAGGAGAAAUGCCUCACCAAAUGAAGGGGCAAGUUCAAUAUCCCUUGAAUUGAGGUCCCAAUGCAUGAACAAAGCACAAACACCCAAACACUUUAGGAGGAAUUUUGAACAAAGGAGAAUUGAGCUUUAAGAUAUGAAGGGGGUUAACUAUUGCCAAGUGAAGGUGAAGGCAACCUAUUGAUUGCAUACGUGGUAGUUAGAAUUGCCUCAUCCUAGAAGGCCUUUGGAACCUUCAUCUCUAUUAACAUGGAUCAAGUGAAUGUCUGAUUCCUGUAUCUAGCGACUCCAUUAUAUUGAGGUGCGUGAGGACAAGAAGUUUGGUAUUUAAUGUCACGAUCAUAGAGUUAACUAUAGAUCUCAUGACCAGUGUUCGAAACAUCUCUAAUAUUAUCUUUAUCUCCAGCUCAACGAUACUGAUAACACAGGUAGCGAUACUGAUAACACUAGUAGUAUUGGAAAUUUCAGGUAUUAGCAAUGUAUCGCUAAGUAUCGUCAAUGUGUCAAUAUUACAAAUGUAAUCGCCAAUAUUUUCAACUAUGUAAGUUCUAGGUGUCGCUUGUAUUGCCAAUGCAUCAAUAUCACCAAUGUAUUCCCAAUAUUUUCGACUAUGUAAAUUCUAGGUAAUGAUUGUAUCAUAAGUGUAUCGACGAUAUUUUAAUAAUAUCGCCAACGUAUU